AGGUAGUAAAGGGUGCCUUGAUGGAGGGGGCCUUUGUGGAGGAGACCCUUGUGGAGGGGGAACUGGUGGAGGGGGCCCUACUUGUGGCUCUGUCUCCGAUAUGCCUCCUGCCACUACAAUAAGGUUCUCAUACCUAAAUGAACAAAAAGCACACUUAAUCAGAAAUUUGAUAAAACAAAAGGUCAAUCAGGCAAAAAUCUCUUUUUUAAAAAAAAAUUUCUUAUGUUCAAAACCUACAUCAUGAAUUAGGAAAAUAUAGAGCAACUCACAAUCCACAAUAUAUUUAGCAAAAUAUUUUGAAUUGCCAAUGCAAUACAUAAAAAUAGGGAUCAUCAGUUGGCAUCUGCAAGCAUGCAAACCAAAGAGUGAAUACAUACAUCAAGUUUCCUUUUGGAGGGGGAACUGGUGGAGGCGGCCCUUGUGGAGGGGGAACUGGUGGAUGCGGCCCUUGUGGAGGGGGUCCUUCCUCUUGUAGAGGGGGACCUGGUGGAGGGGCCCCUUGUGGAGGAGGAACUGGUAGAGGGGGCCCAACAUGUGGAUUUGCCUCUGAUAUGCCUCCUGCAACUAAAAUUAGGUUCUCAUACCUAACAGAAAUAAAGGACAGUUAAUCAGAAAUUAGAUAAAAUUAAAGUCAAUAUGGCAAGAAUCUUUUGUUUGUAUGCUCAAUGCAAACAUCAUUAAUUAGGAAAAUGAAGAGCGACUCCCAAUCCAUGUUAUAUUUAGCAAAAUAUUUUGAAACAGAAGUAAGAUGAUGGCCAAUGCAGUACGUAAAAAUGGGGAUCAUCGGUUGCCAUCUACAAGCACGCAAACCAAGGAGUGAGUACAUACAUCAAAUUUCUAACAGGUCCUUGUGGAGGAUGCACUGGUGGGGGGUGUCCUUCUGGAGGAGGAACUGGUGGAGGGGGCCCUACUUGUGAAUCUGACUCUGAUUUGCUCAAUAUAUAAUCCCUUAAAUUUUCUGUCCAUUCUCCAAGAACCUUUAUGAGAACAGAUGAAUGAUAUUUUCCCUCUAGCGGACUAGAUGAUACACUGAAAGGAUGCCACUGCAGCCAAGAUAAUUCUCGAACUUGAAGGAAAAAGAAACUCAGGG
rnacentral:lncRNA from 1 species